rnacentral:lncRNA from 1 species
GGGUCAUUUUCAUAUAUACAUAUAUAACAUUAUCAUAACUUUUAAAAAGUAUUAUAACCACAUUUUCUCACUAAGUGCAUUUCCUUUUCAAAUCUUUAUAAUCUUAGGUGUAACUGAAAACAGGUAGCUGAUAUUUCCAUAUCUACCGAUUCUUUGCCAAAAGAAUAAAAAAUAAAAUACUCAGUUGAAACGUAUAUGAAAUGACUUUGAAUC